rnacentral:rRNA from 1 species
UGAUUAUGGCUCAGGAUGAACGCUAGCGGCAGGCUUAAUACAUGCAAGUCGAGGGGCAGCAGGGGUAGCAAUACUCGCUGGCGACCGGCAAACGGGUGAGGAACAUGUACGCAACCUUCCUUUAACUGGAGGAUAGCCCCUCGAAAGAGGGAUUAAUACUCCGUAACAUAAUGAAGUGGCAUCACUUUAUUAUUAUAGCUCCGGCGGUUAAAGAUGGGCGUGCAACUGAUUAGAUAGUUGGCGGGGUAACGGCCCACCAAGUCUGCGAUCAGUAACUGGUGUGAGAGCACGACCAGUCACACGGGCACUGAGACACGGGCCCGACUCCUACGGGAGGCAGCAGUAAGGAAUAUUGGUCAAUGGACGCAAGUCUGAACCAGCCAUGCCGCGUGGAGGAUUAAGGCCCUCUGGGUUGUAAACUCCUUUUAUCUGGGAAGAAAUGUGUUUUUUCUAAGACACUUGACGGUACCAGAGGAAUAAGCACCGGCUAACUCCGUGCCAGCAGCCGCGGUAAUACGGAGGGUGCAAGCGUUAUCCGGAUUCACUGGGUUUAAAGGGUGCGUAGGCGGGCAGAUAAGUCAGUGGUGAAAUCUUCGAGCUUAACUCGGAAACUGCCGUUGAUACUAUUUGUCUUGAAUAUUGUGGAGGUAAGCGGAAUAUGUCAUGUAGCGGUGAAAUGCUUAGAUAUGACAUAGACACAUUGCGACGCAGCUACUACACAAUGAUGACGCUGAGCACGAAGCGUGGGGAUCAACAAGAUAGAUACCUGGUAGUCACGCCUAACGAUGAUUACUCGACAUACGCGAUA